ensembl:lncRNA
CUGGUCCUGGGCUCUAUUUCACAUUCGUCGGGAGGUUCCUCAGCACUCUUGAGACCCAAAGCUCAAGAGCUACAUGCGCUGACUUCCUCCCCCAUCCCUCACAUCCCCACACAUCCACAGCUGUCGGGAUGGUCAUGGCCCUGAAGGGGGUCCCCCAGGCAGCGUCUCUGGUACGGGCUAAAAUGGUCCUGCAAGACAGGAGGUCCAGCAUCUACAGCAAGCCACCCAAGACCAAGAUCGGACCUGGGGUGAGUGUUGCACUGAGGGACUCUCUGCUGAUACAGUAGACAGUCCUCUCUAAUUUGGAACUCACUCAAUGUGCCAAGGGACUGUUGCUUCUAUAUUCAUUCAGGGACAGUUUCCUGAGGCCUAGAUUACGCAUAGUCCUGAACUUAAAAGAAGUUUCAAUGGAUUUAGAUGUUUUAUUGUGCAUGGUUUUUAGUCCUAGGCAUAAACUAGCCCAUUGUGUUUGAUGUUUCUUUACCAUCAUAGUUCAAAGACUAGGCUUAAUCCGUGUCCAAGAAACCGCCUUUUAAUGUAUUAACAUUACAAUAACAGCCAUAGUACCCUGUAUUGUCAUCCUUUAUAUCUCAGGUGAACUCAUGCAUUUAAUAAUGUCAUCAACAAAAAAUUAUACUGGUGUUCUGCAAUAACUGCAAUAACUUAAACAUCAGGUGACGCCCGACUUGAUUAGUCAUUUAAGGGUUUGUGCUCCCCAAUUCCAGUUUACUUUUACCAGACGGAUAGACCAGCAUUUUGUUUUUCCUGCCUCAAACAUUCCAUGUAAUUUAAUUUAAAAGAGAGAGAGAGAGAGAGAGAGAGAGAGAGAGAGAGAGAGAGAGAGAGAGAGAGAGAGAUUGCAGCAAGCUCGUCUUUGGAUUAGGUGGUUGUUUCACCAGGAUAAUCACGCUGUAGAUUUGAUAAGGUCACAGGGUAAAUGUUUAUUUUGCUGUGUCCUGCCAUGGCUCUUCCGCUUUAUCUGCAUUUUUGAGUGAUCUCAAACACAGCACAGAGCCAUUUCUCAACUAUAGAAAGACUGAUGUAUUUCACACGUAGAACUGCCAUGUGGAUAAAAGCCUUGGUAAGGAAGGAUAUGAUCCAUGUCUAUUGAUUGACACCCCUCUCCAUACUUCUACCCUGUCUAUAUUUUACAGUCUGUUUAGAAUACAUGACGGAAAUAAACAAUUUAGACAAUUCAGACAUCAAUGAUUGAGUUCAGACUUAGAGGUUGCGACUGACUUUAAUGGACAGACAAGGAUGCGCCAGAAAGCUCUGAGCCGGAGCUAUAAAAUAGGCUUUCCUCUUGGCUGGAAGUAUAUAAAGGGUUUCUAAUGUAUAAUGUAUGGACACAAUGAACGCCUCAGCUCCAUGAGGGAGCUGCCUGGGAUAUAAUAAAAUCGAUUGCCUGGGGCAGGUGGCUCUGAUGUGGAUCAAUGUGGCCUGCCUAGACCUCCUGGGAAAGUCUGUAGUCUUUGAGCUGCUUAGCUGUAGUGCAGGGUUGGGUAACUAGUGGCCCACUGGCCGCGCUACCUUUUGUAGGACAUUGGAUCAAAAAAAUAAAUAUAUAUACACUACGGCUACUGUAACGAUGUACGUUGAGAGUCGGGAAGCAAGUUCAGGGAGUGAAUGCAUUUAAUUAAUUAAUUAACAAAACAAGAAACACAAACAGCGCACCGACAUGAAACAGGAACAAUGACAACUGGGGAAGAAUCCAAAGGGAGUGACAUACAAAGGGCAGGUAAUCAUAGAGGUGAUGGAGUCCAGUUGAGUGUCCAUAUGCGCGUAAUGCUGGUGACAGGUGUGCGCCCUAACAAGCUGUCUGGUGACCUAGAGGCCGGAGAGGGAGCACACGCAACAGGUACGCAGACCCGCGAUCAACUGUGGCCCCUCAUGAUGAGUUCAGAUUUUUUGUGGGCCCCAUCCCUGCUGCAGUGUAUAGGACGCAAUGAACUAUUUCCAAAACCUCUGAUAAUACCCAUACUCCAAUAACCCACAGCACAUUUGUGAUGAAAUAAAUACAGAGUAGAUAUUGGUGUUGAUAUUUGAUAUGCCAAUUUAUUGCAAACAUAAAUAAGUUCUUCAACUGGAAAUGAGCCAGUCUGAAAUGAGUUGAAGACAUACUUUUCUGGGAUUUGUAUCAGGGACAUAGGAAAGUUAAUUGCAGAACAAGCCUUCAUACAUUUGUAACACUACCACAAAAGAGAAAGGAAGGCUCAAACACAAGUUCCUUUGAUACUUGUGGGUUGAGUAGUUCGAGUGACACUUGUAUACUCAAUAGAUUGAAGAAAUUAUAUACCACCAAGCUUUCCUUUAUAUUGCUAAAUGAAGCCAUACAGAAUACUAAUACAGCAAAUUCGAUUGGAGAUUUGGACAUUAAACAAAAGACAUGUCAGCUCUAAAUUUUAGAUGGCAGUAAUAUUCUCAUUUAUAUUUUACUAACACUUAAAGCCUGCAAGUAUAAUGCUUUACUAUUUGUAUGAACACAUACAUAAUGUUCUUAUUUAAUGUUUUAUUUUAAUGUCCUAUUAUAAGGCUUAUAAUAUUAUGUCAUGGUCCUCUGUGAAAUGUUCAAGUGGCUCAAAAUAACUGGUAUUAUGUGAGGAUCAUAAGGAGAUGACAGUGGGUCAUACAUGGUCAUGGCAAGUCUUGCAAUGCCUUAUAACCACAUCAUAAUGCCUUAUAACUGCAGACUUUAGAUUAAGUGUUACCAACUGCAGAUUAACUUUAGUCUUUUAACAGAAACGUAAUUGGCUUCGAGGGUUUAGUACACUAGUGGGUCAACCCGUGCAUAACGUAUGGCUCUUACUGUGUCUCUUAUUUUUUGUCUCGUCUUCUCUCCUCUCCCUUCCUCCCUCACAGCAAAGCUUCUUUAUCAUGUCCGUCUUUGCUGUCGGCAUGCUUGCUCCGGCCGGCUGGAUCAUGCACCACAUCCCAGAGUACCGCCAAAGACCACGUCCUUCAUCAAGACCGUCGUAAAGAAGAAGACCCCAACAUCUUCACACACACACACACACGCACGCUACAAACCACGGCUGUAUUCAACAUAUUAGCCACCAUGCUAUCAAAUACUGUACCUUGCUAAUGUAUAACAACACACAUUAUCUACAGUAUAAAUGAUACUCAAUGGCCACAAUAAUAACGGGAAAAUAACAUGCACUUUGAAGGGACCAUGGAAGACAUUUCUGCAUGACUGUCAUGAGUAUGUUUUUGUAUGAUGUCUUUUUUUUAUUUUAAAUAUUCUGAGUAUUGCAGUAGCAUGGUGUCUAAUGUCUCAUGAAUAUGGCCCCUAAUGUCACUGCUGCAUCCAGUUGCAAUGACACGUCUGUAAAACUGCCAACUCACUGCCAUCAUCAAUAAAUACAUGCUGUGUUGGCAA